UAAAAAUCAAAGUACGCAUGUACUACUUACCUCAGUAAGACCCAUUGUUUUCAGAUAUAUAUUCUGUCUGUUUUGUCUUGAGCUGAUUAGUUGACACUACAAAAAUUGAGGUUUAACAGGAAAAGCAAGAAAGCAAACAGGUUGAUAUGGUGAGACAGCACUGCUGGGUGGGCUCCUCUGCAGGACUGGAGGGCCCUCGGUUCAAGGCUAUCAGGUGGAGACUUCAGGGGCCAGAGGCACAGUUUCGGUGAGUGAGGCCUUUUCUUCUGCCCCUCUCCUAGCUGGUUUAAGGGUUGUAAUUAUCUUUUGCUGGGGGAGGCUGUAAAUUGGAUUAAAGUGGAGGGUCUCGGCUGAGUGGAUCACCCCCCCUACCUCAGCCCUCCACUUCCCCCGCCAUCUCACCACUUGGUGGGCCACACGCUGAUAAAGUGCGGAAAACCGGAUUUGGAU